CCAGGAGGACCCCAGCGUGCGCCCUUUCUCUUGCUGCUCUGUUUCCCAGUCUCUCCCCGCCUCGCCUUCCCUCUCUUCUGUCCCGGCCAGGAUCCCCAGACGCUGCGUCACAACUCCCCCGCUGGCGCGGGCGGGGAAGCAACUGCAAAACUUUCCGCAAACUUCACGGCGUGGUGGGACCUGGGCUACGAGCAUUUUCGUGACCCCUGUGUCAGUGUUCCCGGUGCAGGAGUGUAGCACUUUUGCUUGUUGGGGCUGCAUCCAGAAACCUGGGGAAAAUCUGUCCACUGGACGUCUCAGAAGACCGGCAUCAUCACUCCCACCAACUGGACUGCUGGCCGGUAGCAAAAGACCAGCUGGAAAUUUCAUAAAAGGUUAGACAAUCCACAGUUACUCAGUGUUACGCAACAGGUCUCUGCAGCACAGAGCACGAACUGGGGAGUCAGGAUGCUGGAGUCCAGCCCUGCCUCUCUGCGGAUUCCCUGCCUGACCUUGGGAAAGCCUCUUGGGGUCUCGGGGCAUAGGGCAGGACUGAGACGUUGAGACCCCAAGUGCAAAGAAGACACAUUUCUCCUACCACGAGUAAUCAAAAACACUAUGAAACUGUAAUAUGGGCCGGGUGCGGUGGCUCACGCCUGUAAUCACACUUUCGGAGGCCGAGGAGAUUGAGCCCAGGAGUUGAAGACCAGCCUGGGCAACAUAGGCAGAUCCCAUCUCAUUUUGUUAAUAUAAAAUUUUUAAAUAAUAAUAAAACUGUAAUAUAAAUU
rnacentral:lncRNA from 10 species